rnacentral:rRNA from 1 species
GAUGAACGCUGGCGGCGUGCCUAAUACAUGCAAGUCGAGCGAACAGACGAGGAGCUUGCUCCUCUGACGUUAGCGGCGGACGGGUGAGUAACACGUGGAUAACCUACCUAUAAGACUGGGAUAACUUCGGGAAACCGGAGCUAAUACCGGAUAAUAUAUUGAACCGCAUGGUUCAAAGGUGAAAGACGGUUUUGCUGUCACUUAUAGAUGGAUCCGCGCCGCAUUAGCUAGUUGGUAAGGUAACGGCUUACCAAGGCAACGAUGCGUAGCCGACCUGAGAGGGUGAUCGGCCACACUGGAACUGAGGCACGGUCCAGACUCCUACGGGAGGCAGCAGUAGGGAAUCUUCCGCAAUGGGCGAAAGCCUGACGGAGCAACGCCGCGUGAGUGAUGAAGGUCUUCGGAUCGUAAAACUCUGUUAUUAGGGAAGAACAAAUGUGUAAGUAACUAUGCACGUCUUGACGGUACCUAAUCAGAAAGCCACGGCUAACUACGUG